rnacentral:rRNA from 1 species
AGUGAACGCUGGCGGUAGGCCUAACACAUGCAAGUCGAACGGCAGCACAGUAAGAGCUUGCUCUUACGGGUGGCGAGUGGCGGACGGGUGAGGAAUACAUCGGAAUCUACUUUUUCGUGGGGGAUAACGUAGGGAAACUUACGCUAAUACCGCAUACGACCUACGGGUGAAAGCAGGGGAUCUUCGGACCUUGCGCGAUUGAAUGAGCCGAUGUCGGAUUAGCUAGUUGGCGGGGUAAAGGCCCACCAAGGCGACGAUCCGUAGCUGGUCUGAGAGGAUGAUCAGCCACACUGGAACUGAGACACGGUCCAGACUCCUACAGGAGGCAGCAGUGGGGAAUAUUGGACAAUGGGCGCAAGCCUGAUCCAGCCAUACCGCGUGGGUGAAGAAGGCCUUCGGGUUGUAAAGCCCUUUUGUUGGGAAAGAAAAGCAGCAGGUUAAUACCCCGCUGUUCUGACGUUACCCAAAGAAUAAGCACCGGCUAACUUCGUG